UCGCCUGUUUAUCAAAAACAUCGCCUCUGAUCAACAUAGGAGGUCCAGCCUGCCCAGUGACAAAGUUAAACGGCCGCGGUACCCUAACCGUGCGAAGGUAGCGCAAUCACUUGUUCUUUAAAUCAGGACUAGUAUGAACGGCAUCACGAGGGUUACACUGUCUCCCCCUUUUAAUCAAUGAAACUGAUCUCCCCGUGAAGAAGCGGGGAUAGACAUAUAAGACGAGAAGACCCCAUGGAGCUUUAAACCCAGUAUCAACUGCCCCCGCUAUACCAACGAAAACAAGCAGAUCCUGAUAACUGGUUUUCGGUUGGGGUGACCGCGGAGCAAAAUAAAACCUCCACGAUGAAAGGAACGCCUUCCUAACCAAAGAGCUACAGCUCGAAGAAUCAAUAAACUGACAUAAAUUGACCCAAAUAAUUUUGAUCAACGAACCAAGUUACCCUGGGGAUAACAGCGCAAUCCAUUUUAAGAGCUCCUAUCGACAAAUGGGUUUACGACCUCGAUGUUGGAUCAGGGUAUCCCAGUGGUGCAGCCGCUACUAAAGGUU
rnacentral:rRNA from 1 species